rnacentral:rRNA from 1 species
GAUGAACGCUGGCGGCGUGCCUAAUACAUGCAAGUCGAGCGAACAGAUGAGGAGCUUGCUCCUCUGACGUUAGCGGCGGACGGGUGAGUAACACGUGGAUAACCUACCUAUAAGACUGGGAUAACUUCGGGAAACCGGAGCUAAUACCGGAUAAUAUAUUGAACCGCAUGGUUCAAUAGUGAAAGACGGUUUUGCUGUCACUUAUAGGUGGAUCCGCGCCGCAUUAGCUAGUUGGUAAGGUAACGGCUUACCAAGGCAACGAUGCGUAGCCGACCUGAGAGGGUGAUCGGCCACACUGGAACUGAGACACGGUCCAGACUCCUGCGGGAGGCAGCAGUAGGGAAUCUUCCGCAAUGGGCGAAAGCCUGACGGAGCAACGCCGCGUGAGUGAUGAAGGUCUUCGGAUCGUAAAACUCUGUUAUUAGGGAAGAACAAAUGUGUAAGUAACUAUGCACGUCUUGACGGUACCUAAUCAGAAAGCCACGGCUAACUACGUG